rnacentral:rRNA from 1 species
ACCUGCGGAAGGAUCAUUACCGAG